AUAGCCGAAUAGGGAAGCGUGCCAGGGCUAUCUCAAUCUUCCCAUACUUAUCGAUCACGUCAUCAUCCCCUUUGUCCGAUACGAAACCGAACCUCCCUUCUUUAAAAUCCACACCUUGUCCGAAUCUCUCUCCAACCGCUAAAAGAGAAAAAAAAUGGCGACAACCCAGCUAAAAUCGGAUGCGAUCAUGGAUUUGAUGAAGCAGCAUCUCUCCACCGACGCCGGUAAAGAGCUCACAGAGAAGAUCGGUCUCGUUUAUCAGAUCAACGUCGCUCCCAAGGUUCCAAUCAAGAGCAAAAAAUCUUCUAUUUACGUCAUUUUACAAUCGAUGUUGUCUAUCUAUUUUUUAUUUGUGUCAGCCGCAAAACUUAUUUUUUAUGCAUAUGAAAUCUUAAAAAUAAGUAAAAUGAGUUGUAAUACAUUAAUUCUUCAAUAACGAUGAUACAUAGAUCAACAUUUGUAUUCGUCAUUGUAAUCAUUUUACAAUUGAUAAAGAUUGUAGUGUUGCAAAACUUUAAAACCAUUUAAUGAACAAACAUUUGUAUAAAAUUUCACUCUGCGCAUACGCGCGAAUUAUCAUAUAGUUGUCAUAUAUAUAUUAAUCAUAUCAGGUAAUUCCGUAGUUUUUAUUUAAGAAAAUAAUUGAUAAUUUUUUUGUAUAAAUAUAAUUUAUAUUUAUAUAGAAAAAUUUAUUUUCCUAAGGAUUUUAAAAAUUAUCCUAGUGAUGACACGUGCCUACAAAAACAUGUUGUAAUACUUCAGGAUUAAUAUAUAAAUAUGAUAAUGCAUAACUUUAAAAACAAUAUAUGUUCAGUUUCUAUAGUAUCACGAAAAAUCUGAUGUUAUUUUAGCCUAGUACUAUAACCAUGGAAUAUUUACUAAAAUACGUAUCUUUCGCAUUCAUUAGUUUAUUUGAUACAUACUCCUAUUCCUCCAUUGAAUAUUUGUAGAGAUUUUUACCAGAAACAAAUAUUUGUACAGUGAUUCAUCAGAGAACAGUAGUUGAGUUUGCAUUUUUUUUCUUAAUUACUGUAUUAGGAGAAAAAGGCAAGAUUAGUCUCUCCGAAUUCUCCGAAAAUAAAAAUAGAAAUGUAUCCGUGAAUAGCCGAAUAGGGAAGCGUGCCAGGGCUAUCUCAAUCUUCCCAUACUUAUCGAUCACGUCAUCAUCCCCUUUGUCCGAUACGAAACCGAACCUCCCUUCUUUAAAAUCCACACCUUGUCCGAAUCUCUCUCCAACCGCUAAAAGAGAAAAAAAAUGGCGACAACCCAGCUAAAAUCGGAUGCGAUCAUGGAUUUGAUGAAGCAGCAUCUCUCCACCGACGCCGGUAAAGAGCUCACAGAGAAGAUCGGUCUCGUUUAUCAGA
rnacentral:lncRNA from 1 species